CCGCGGGACACCUCCCCCCAACGGGAGGCUUACUAUCUGGAAGGGUAGAUCAU
rfam:Bradyrhizobium sp. BR 10245 contig50, whole genome shotgun sequence.